GACGAACGCUGGCGGCGUGCUUAACACAUGCAAGUCGAACGGAAAGGCCCUGCUCUUGUGGGGUGCUCGAGUGGCGAACGGGUGAGUAACACGUGAGUAACCUGCCCUUGACUUUGGGAUAACUUCAGGAAACUGGGGCUAAUACCGGAUAGGAGCUCCUGCUGCAUGGUGGGGGUUGGAAAGUUUCGGCGGUUGGGGAUGGACUCGCGGCUUAUCAGCUUGUUGGUGGGGUAGUGGCUUACCAAGGCUUUGACGGGUAGCCGGCCUGGGAGGGUGACCGGCCACAUUGGGCCUGAGGUACGGACCAGUCUCCUACGGGAGGCAGCAGUGGGGAAUAUUGCACAGUGGGCGGGAGCGUGAUGCGACAACGCCGCGUGCGUGAUGACGGCCUUCGGGUUGUAAACCGCUUUCGCCUGUGACGAAGCGUGAGUGACGGUAAUGGGUAAAGAAGCACCGGCUAACUACGUG
rnacentral:rRNA from 1 species